rnacentral:misc_RNA from 1 species
CAACGUAUCCACGUAUAAACCUUUGUGAACAUGUUUAACCGCGUAGUUGUGGUGGCGCAAAGUCGUAUAACGAUUCGGAAAUAAAGUUAUAUGACCCGCUUCUCUCUUGCAGAGAAGGGACACCAUGGCUGUGUUUUUCCGUUUUACAUAUUAACCACUG